AUUGAACGCUGGCGGAAUGCUUUACACAUGCAAGUCGAGCGGCAGCGCGGGGCAACCUGGCGGCGAGCGGCGAACGGGUGAGUAAUGUAUCGGAACGUGUCCUGUCGUGGGGGAUAGCCCGGUGAAAACCGGAUUAAUACCGCAUACGAUCGAGAGAUGAAAGUGGGGGACCGCAAGGCCUCACGCGAUAGGAGCGGCCGAUAUCUGAUUAGCUAGUUGGUGGGGUAAAGGCCCACCAAGGCUUCGAUCAGUAGCUGGUCUGAGAGGAUGAUCAGCCACACUGGGACUGAGACACGGCCCAGACUCCUACGGGAGGCAGCAGUGGGGAAUUUUGGACAAUGGGGGCAACCCUGAUCCAGCCAGUCUGCGUGAGUGAAGAAGGCCUUCGGGUUGUAAAGCUCUUUUGUCCGGGAAGAAACGGUUUUGGCUAAUAACCAAGACUACUGACGGUACCGGAAGAAUAAGGACCGGCUAACUACGUGCCAGCCGCCGCGGUAAGAC
rnacentral:rRNA from 1 species